GACGAACGCUGGCGGCGUGCUUAACACAUGCAAGUCGAACGGAAAGGCCCUGCUUUUGUGGGGUGCUCGAGUGGCGAACGGGUGGGUAACACGUGAGUAACCUGCCCUUGACUUUGGGAUAACUUCAGGAAACUGGGGCUAAUACCGGAUAGGAGCUCCUGCUGCAUGGUGGGGGUUGGAAAGUUUCGGCGGUUGGGGAUGGACUCGCGGCUUAUCAGCUUGUUGGUGGGGUAGUGGCUUACCAAGGCUUUGACGGGUAGCCGGCCUGAGAGGGUGACCGGCCACAUUGGGACUGAGAUACGGCCCAGACUCCUACGGGAGGCAGCAGUGGGGAAUAUUGCACAAUGGGCGGAAGCCUGAUGCAGCAACGCCGCGUGCGGGAUGACGGCCUUCGGGUUGUAAACCGCUUUCGCCUGUGACGAAGCGUGAGUGACGGUAAUGGGUAAAGAAGCACCGGCUAACUACGUGCCAGCAGCCGCGGUGAUACGUAGGGUGCGAGCGUUGUCCGGAUUUAUUGGGCGUAAAGGGCUCGUAGGUGGUUGAUCGCGUCGGAAGUGUAAUCUUGGGGCUUAACCCUGAGCGUGCUUUCGAUACGGGUUGACUUGAGGAAGGUAGGGGAGAAUGGAAUUCCUGGUGGAGCGGUGGAAUGCGCAGAUAUCAGGAGGAACACCAGUGGCGAAGGCGGUUCUCUGGGCCUUUCCUGACGCUGAGGAGCGAAAGCGUGGGGAGCGAACAGGCUUAGAUACCCUGGUAGUCCACGCUGUAAACGGUGGGUACUAGGUGUGGGGUCCAUUCCACGGGUUCCGUGCCGUAGCUAACGCUUUAAGUACCCCGCCUGGGGAGUACGGCCGCAAGGCUAAAACUCAAAAGAAUUGACGGGGCCCCGCACAAGCGGCGGAGCAUGCGGAUUAAUUCGAUGCAACGCGUAGAACCUUACCUGGGUUUGACAUGGAUCGGGAGUGCUCAGAGAUGGGUGUGCCUCUUUUGGGGUCGGUUCACAGGUGGUGCAUGGCUGUCGUCAGCUCGUGUCGUGAGAUGUUGGGUUAAGUCCCGCAACGAGCGCAACCCUUGUUCACUGUUGCCAGCACGUUAUGGUGGGGACUCAGUGGAGACCGCCGGGGUCAACUCGGAGGAAGGUGGGGAUGACGUCAAGUCAUCAUGCCCCUUAUGUCCAGGGCUUCACGCAUGCUACAAUGGCUGGUACAGAGAGUGGCGAGCCUGUGAGGGUGAGCGAAUCUCGGAAAGCCGGUCUCAGUUCGGAUUGGGGUCUGCAACUCGACCUCAUGAAGUCGGAGUCGCUAGUAAUCGCAGAUCAGCAACGCUGCGGUGAAUACGUUCCCGGG
rnacentral:rRNA from 1 species